UAAAACAAACUAAAUAAAUUCAGGCCUUGUAGUUUCACUCAGAAAUCUGUCUAUUCGCGUCCGGCAAAGAAUCUACAGACCUUUUACCAAUUAAAUGAUGAAGAAGCACACCUGUUGCUACACUAACAUUUAAGCUUUCCACAGCCAAAAAUGAAAGGAACUCUUUACCAGGGCUCUCGCGAUUUAAACCGGUACUUUCACCUUCUAAUUCAUCACCGGUACUUAAGUCUGAAGGAAUAUUACCAGCAAUUUUAACCAACUGNNN
rnacentral:lncRNA from 1 species